GGAGAGGUGGCCGAGCGGCUUAAGGCGCACGCUUGGAAAGCGUGUGUACGCAAGUACCGUGAGUUCGAAUCUCACCCUCUCCGCCA
rnacentral:tRNA from 1 species